rnacentral:rRNA from 1 species
AUUGAACGCUGGCGGCAUGCCUUACACAUGCAAGUCGAACGGUAACGGGCCUUCGGGUGCCGACGAGUGGCGAACGGGUGAGUAAUGUAUCGGAACGUACCUUUCAGUGGGGGAUAACGUAGCGAAAGUUACGCUAAUACCGCAUAUUCUGUGCGCAGGAAAGCAGGGGAUCGCAAGACCUUGCGCUCAUUGAGCGGCCGAUAUCAGAUUCGCUAGUUGGUGAGGGAAAGGCUCACCAAGGCGACGAUCUGUAGCGGGUCUGAGAGGAUGACCCGCCACACUGGAACUGAGACACGGUCCAGACUCCUACGGGAGGCAGCAGUGGGGAAUUUUGGACAAUGGGGGCAACCCUGAUCCAGCCAUGCCGCGUGAGUGAAGAAGGCCUUCGGGCUGUAAAGCUCUUUCGGCCGGGAAGAAAUCGUAUCAGCUAAUACCUGGUGCGGAUGACGGUACCGGCAUAAGAAGCACCGGCUAACUACGUGCCAGCCGCCGCCGUAACAC